rnacentral:rRNA from 1 species
CCUACGGGUGGCUGCAGUCGAGAAUCAUUCACAAUGGGGGAAACCCUGAUGGUGCGACGCCGCGUGGGGGAAUGAAGGUCUUCGGAUUGUAAACCCCUGUCAUGUGGGAGCAAAUUAAAAAGAUAGUACCACAAGAGGAAGAGACGGCUAACUCUGUGCCAGCAGCCGCGGUAAUACAGAGGUCUCAAGCGUUGUUCGGAAUCACUGGGCGUAAGGCGUGCGUAGGCUGUUUCGUAAGUCGUGUGUGAAAGGCGCGGGCUCAACCCGCGGACGGCACAUGAUACUGCGAGACUAGAGUAAUGGAGGGGGAACCGGAAUUCUCGGUGUAGCAGUAAAAUGCGUAGAUAUCGAGAGGAACACUCGUGGCGAAGGCGAGUUCCUGGACAUUAACUGACGCUGAGGCACGAAGGCCAGGGGAGCGAAAGGGAUUAGAUACCCUGGUAGUC